rnacentral:rRNA from 1 species
CGCUGGCGGCGUGCUUAAUACAUGCAAGUCGAGCGAGCUACUUCGGUAGCGAGCGGCGCACGGGUGAGUAACGCGUAGAUGAUCUACCCUUGAGACGGAGAUACCUCCGGGAAACUGGAGUUAAUACCCGAUAACGCACAUUGAUUGGUUUUGAUGUGUUAAAGCGGUGCAAGUCGCACUUGAGGAUGAGUCUGCGGCCUAUCAGCUAGUUGGUGGGGUAACGGCCUACCAAGGCGAAGACGGGUAGCUGAUCUGAGAGGAUGAUCAGCCACAGUUGGGACUGAGACACCGGACCCAAACUCCGUACGGGAGGCAGCAGGUAGGGAAUAUUGCGCAAUGGGGGAACCCUGACGCAGCGACGCCGCGUGAGUGAUGACGGCCUUUUUGGUUGUAAAGCUCUGUAAAGAGGGAAAAAUGUUUAUGUGAAGAGCAUGAAUUGAUGGUACCUCUAAAGUAAGGACCGGCUAAAUACGUGCCAGCAGCUGC